GAUGAACGCUAGCGGGAGGCUUAACACAUGCAAGUCGAGGGGUAGGGAAGCAAUUCCUGAGACCGGCGGACGGGUGCGUAACGCGUAUGCAACCUGCCUUAUACAGGGGGAUAGCCCAUGGAAACGUGGAUUAACACCCCAUAGGAUUACGGGAUGGCAUGCUUGUGUGAUUAAAACUGAGGUGGGAUAAGAUGGGCAUGCGUCUGAUUAGGUAGUUGGUAGGGUAAUGGCCUACCAAGCCGACGAUCAGUAGGGGUUCUGGGAGGAUUACCCCCCACACUGGUACUGAGACACGGACCAGACUCCUACGGGAGGCAGCAGUGAGGAAUAUUGGUCAAUGGCCGGAAGGCUGAACCAGCCAUCCCGCGUGCAGGAUGACGGCCCUAUGGGUUGUAAACUGCUUUUGUACCUGAAGAAUAGGCCCAACGAGUUGGGAUUUGCCGGUAAGGUAUGAAUAAGCAUCGGCUAACUCCGUGCCAGCAGCCGCGGUAA
rnacentral:rRNA from 1 species